rnacentral:rRNA from 1 species
AAUCAACGCUGGCGGCGUGCCUCAGACAUGCAAGUCGAACGAUUAAACUUUCCUUCGGGAAAGAUAUAAAGUGGCGCACGGGUGAGUAACACGUAAGUAAUCUACCUUCGAGUGGGGAAUAACGUCCGGAACGGACGCUAAUACCGCAUAAUGCAGCGGCACCUUAUGGUGACAGUUGUUAAAGGAGCAAUUCGCUUGAAGAGGAGCUUGCGGCAGA